GCCUCUGGGAUAGCUCAGUUGGUAAAGCGCGAGCCUCUUAAUCUCAGGGUCACGGGUUCGAGCCCCACACUGGACA